rnacentral:rRNA from 1 species
UACAGAGGGUGCAAGCGUUAAUCGGAAUUACUGGGCGUAAAGGGUGCGUAGGUGGUUUUAUAAGUUAGGUGUGAAAGCCCCGGGCUUAACCUGGGAAUUGCGCCUAAUACUGUUGAACUAGAGUACUGUAGAGGAAAGUGGAAUUUCCGGUGUAGCGGUGAAAUGCGUAGAUAUCGGAAGGAACACCAGUGGCGAAGGCGACUUUCUGGACAGAUACUGACACUGAGGCACGAAAGCGUGGGGAUCAAACAGG